AGAGUUUGAUCCUGGCUCAGAACGAACGCUGGCGGCAGGCUUAACACAUGCAAGUUGAACGGGAUUUGUGUGGUGCUUGCACCAUAUAAUGAGAGUAGCGCACUGGUGAGUAACACGUGGGAACGUACCUUUUGGUGGGGGACAACAUCUGGAAACGGAUGCUAAUACCGCAUAAGACCUGAGGGUGAAAGAUUUAUCGCCGAAAGAACGGCCCGCGGAAGAUUAGGCAGUUGGUGGGGUAAAGGCCUACCAAACCUACGAUCUAUAGCUGGUCUGAGAGGACGAUCAGCCACACUGGAACUGAGACACGGUCCAGACUCCUACGGGAGGCAGCAGUGAGGAAUAUUGGGCAAUGGAGGCAACUCUGACCCAGCCAUGCCGCGUGAGUGAAGAAGGUUUUCGGAUUGUAAAGCUCUUUCGGAUGUGACGAUGAUGACGGUAGCAUCUAAAGAAGCCCCGGCUAACUUCGUGCCAGCAGCCGCGGUAAUACGAAGGGGGCGAGCGUUGUUCGGAAUUACUGGGCGUAAAGGGUGUGUAGGCGGUUAUGUAAGAUAGCGGUGAAAUCCCGGGGCUUAACCUCGGAAUAGCCGUUAUAACUAUGUAGCUAGAGUUAUGGAGAGGAUAGCGGAAUACCCAGUGUAGAGGUGAAAUUCGUAGAUAUUGGGUAGAACACCGGUGGCGAAGGCGGCUAUCUGGCCAUAUACUGACGCUGAGGCACGAAAGCAUGGGGAUCAAACAGGAUUAGAUACCCUGGUAGUCCAUGCUGUAAACGAUGAAUGCUGGUUGUCGGCUUUAGGGUCGGUGACGAAGUUAACGCGAUAAGCAUUCCGCCUGGGGAGUACGGUCGCAAGAUUAAAACUCAAAGGAAUUGACGGGGACCCGCACAAGCGGUGGAGCAUGUGGUUUAAUU
rnacentral:rRNA from 1 species